UCUCAUUUACUGACUAUGGAAAUGGAACAAGAAAAAAUGCCCGUGAACAAGAGAUGUGUCCAGAUUCAGCCAUGUACUGCUGUUCUGCAUGCCAUGAGGACGAGGCUUGGAGCUACAGCCACCCCAUCCAGGGCUGGGCCAAGUCCCGCAGCCUGUCCACCUUGCCCCCGCUCCCCCCCCCCCGGGGGGAGCACCAAGGAGUUCAGGAGGACGCGCUCUCUACACGGGCCCUGCCCAGUGACCACCUUUGGCCCAAAGGCCUGAGUGCUGCAGAACCCUCAGACCAUCAUGCACAUUCAGGACACUGCGAGCCAGCGGCUGGCAUGGAGUAAGUCUCCAAAGAGUGUUCUGGUGGUCAAGAAGGUCCGUGAUGCCAGCCUGCUGCAGCUGUUCAAGGAGCUCUGCACAUACCUCAUGGAGGAGAGCAAUAUGGUUGUGUAUGUGGAAAAGAAGGUGCUAGAAGACCCUGCCAUCGUGAGUGAUGAAAACUUUGGGGCAGUGAAGAAGAAAUUCUGCACUUUCUGAGAAGAUUAUGAUGACAUUUCUAAUCAGAGAGACCUCAUCAUCUGCCUGGCAGGGCAUGGGACCCUGCUGUAUGUAUCCUCUCUGUUCCAGGGCAGCGUGCCUCCAGUCAUGGCCUUCCACCUCAGCUCGCUGGGCUUCCUGACACCAUUCAACUUUGCGGACUUUCAGUCUCAAGUUACCCAGGUGAUAGAGGGGAAUGCAGCUGUUGUCCUUCAGAGCCGGCUGAAGGUCAGGGUGGUGAAGGAGCCCAGGGCCAGGAAGGCGCCCAUCCACAGCACACCCACUGCAGGCCUGGACGUGGAGGCCAGGCAGCAGGCCAUGCAGUACCAGGUCCUGAAUGAGGUGGGGAUCGACAGAGGCCCCUCCUCAUAUCUGUCCAACGUGGACGUCUACCUGGACGGACACCUCAUCACCACAGUGCAGGGUGACGGAGUGAUCAUGUCCACUCCAACUGGCAGCAUGGCGUAUACAGUGGUGGCCAGGGCCUCCAUGAUCCACCCCAACGUGCCAGCCAUCAUGAUCACACCCAUCUGCCCCCACUCACUGUCCUUCCGGUCCAUCGUGGUUCCUGCAGGGGUGGAGCUGAAGAUCAUGCUGUCACCAGAAGCACGGAACACAGCGUGGGUGUCCUUUGACAGCCGGAAGAGACAGGAGAUCCGCCAUGGAGACAGCAUCAGCAUCACUACCUCUUGCUACCCGCUGCCCUCCAUCUGCAUGCAAGACCCCAUGAGCGACUGGUUUGAGAGCCUGGUGCAGUGUCUGCACUGGAAUGUGCACAAGAAGCAGGCCCACUUCCCUGAGGAGGAGCGGGGCGAGGGCAGGUGCGUGGGCUAG